GACGAACGCUGGCGGCGUGCUUAACACAUGCAAGUCGAACGAAGAGCGAUGGAAGCUUGCUUCUAUCAAUCUUAGUGGCGAACGGGUGAGUAACGCGUAAUCAACCUGCCCUUCAGAGGGGGACAACAGUUGGAAACGACUGCUAAUACCGCAUACGAUCUAACCUCGGCAUCGAGGAUGGAUGAAAGGUGGCCUCUAUUUAUAAGCUAUCACUGAAGGAGGGGAUUGCGUCUGAUUAGCUAGUUGGAGGGGUAACGGCCCACCAAGGCGAUGAUCAGUAGCCGGUCUGAGAGGAUGAACGGCCACAUUGGGACUGAGACACGGCCCAGACUCCUACGGGAGGCAGCAGUGGGGAAUCUUCCGCAAUGGACGAAAGUCUGACGGAGCAACGCCGCGUGAGUGAUGACGGCCUUCGGGUUGUAAAGCUCUGUUAAUCGGGACGAAAGGCCUUCUUGCGAAUAGUUAGAAGGAUUGACGGUACCGGAAUAGAAAGCCACGGCUAACUACGUG
rnacentral:rRNA from 1 species